rnacentral:tRNA from 2 species
GGGCUGUUAGCUCAGUUGGCUAGAGCGCCGCAUUUGCACUGCGGAGGUCAAGGGUUCGAUUCCCUUACAGUCCA